rnacentral:rRNA from 1 species
GAUCAGGCCGUUGGCGAGGUAACGGCUCACCAAACCUUUGACCGGUACGGGCCAUGAGAGUGGUAGCCCGGAGAUGGACACUGAGAUAGGGGUCCAGGCCCUACGGGGCGCAGCAGGCGCGAAAACUCCACACUGUACGUAAGUACGAUGGGGUUACCUCGAGUGUAGUCUGUAAAAGAUUGCUUUUCCAUAGAGUAAUAUCCUGUGGGAAUAAGAGGGGGGCAAGACUGGUGUCAGCCGCCGCGGUAACACCAGCCCCUCGAGUGGUAGGGACUUUUAUUUGGCCUAAAGCGUUCGUAGCCGUCUGUAACCGUUGCCCGUUAAAUCCAGCGUCUCAAGCGUUGGACUGCGGGCGAUACCUUACAGAUUGAGGGUGGGAUAGGUAAGCGGUAUUUCUGGGGUAGGGGCGAAAUCCUUUGAUCCCAGGAGGACCACCAGUGGCGAAGGCUGCUUACUAGAACACGCCUGACGGUCAGGAACGAAAGCUGGGGUAGCGAACCGGAUUAGAUACCCGGGUAGUCCCAGCUGUAAACGAUGCGCGCUAGGUGUUGGGUCGGCCAUGCGCCGCCCCAGUGCCGCAGGGAAGCCGUUAAGCGCGCCGCCUGGGGAGUACGGCCGCAAGGCUGAAACUUAAAGGAAUUGGCGGGGGAGCAC